rnacentral:rRNA from 1 species
UACGUAGGGGGCUAGCGUUGUCCGGAUUUAUUGGGCGUAAAGAGCGUGUAGGCGGCCAUGUAGGUCCGGUGUGAAAACUCGAGGCUUAACCUCAAGAUGUCAUCGGAAACCAUUUGGCUAGAGUCCGGAAGAGGAGAGUGGAAUUCCUGGUGUAGCGGUGAAAUGCGCAGAUAUCAGGAAGAACACCAAUGGCGAAAGCAGCUCUCUGGGACGGUACUGACGCUGAGACGCGAAAGCGUGGGGAGCGAACAGG